rnacentral:rRNA from 1 species
UACGGGAGGCAGCAGUGGGGAAUUUUGGACAAUGGGCGAAAGCCUGAUCCAGUCACAUUCCGCGUGCAGGAUGAAGGCCCUCGGGUUGUAAACUGCUUUUGUACAGAACGAAAAGGUUUCUACUAAUACUAVGAGCUCAUGACGGUACUAGUAUAGARUAAGCACUCAGAGCUACACUACGUGCCAGCAGCCGCGGUAAUA